UGGGGAAUAUUGCACAAUGGGGGAAACCCUGAUGCAGCGACGCCGCGUGAACGAAGAAGGUAUUCGUAUCGUAAAGUUCUGUCCUAUGGGAAGAUAAUGACAGUACCAUAGAAGAAAGCUCCGGCUAAAUACGUGCCAGCAGCCGCGGUAAUACGUAUGGAGCGAGCGUUGUCCGGAAUUAUUGGGCGUAAAGGGUACGCAGGCGGUUUAAUAAGUCGAAUGUUAAAGAUCGGGGCUCAACCCCGCAAAGCAUUGGAAACUGAUAAACAUGAGUAGUGGAGAGGAAAGUGGAAUUCCUAGUGUAGUGGUGAAAUACGUAGAUAUUAGGAGGAAUACCAGUAGCGAAGGCGACGUUCUGUACACAAACUGACGCUGAGGUACUAAAGCGUGGGGAGCAAACAGG
rnacentral:rRNA from 1 species